rnacentral:rRNA from 1 species
AGAGUUUGAUCCUGGCUCAGAUUGAACGCUGGCGGCAGGCCUAACACAUGCAAGUCGAGCGGUAGAGAGAAGCUUUGCUUCUCUUGAGAGCGGCGGACGGGUGAGUAAUGCCUAGGAAUCUGCCUGGUAGUGGGGGAUAACGUUCGGAAACGGACGCUAAUACCGCAUACGUCCUACGGGAGAAAGCAGGGGACCUUCGGGCCUUGCGCUAUCAGAUGAGCCUAGGUCGGAUUAGCUAGUUGGUGAGGUAAUGGCUCACCAAGGCGACGAUCCGUAACUGGUCUGAGAGGAUGAUCAGUCACACUGGAACUGAGACACGGUCCAGACUCCUACGGGAGGCAGCAGUGGGGAAUAUUGGACAAUGGGCGAAAGCCUGAUCCAGCCAUGCCGCGUGUGUGAAGAAGGUCUUCGGAUUGUAAAGCACUUUAAGUUGGGAGGAAGGGCAGUAAAUUAAUACUUUGCUGUUUUGACGUUACCGACAGAAUAAGCACCGGCUAACUCUGUGCCAGCAGCCGCGGUAAUACAGAGGGUGCAAGCGUUAAUCGGAAUUACUGGGCGUAAAGCGCGCGUAGGUGGUUUGUUAAGUUGGAUGUGAAAUCCCCGGGCUCAACCUGGGAACUGCAUUCAAAACUGACUGACUAGAGUAUGGUAGAGGGUGGUGGAAUUUCCUGUGUAGCGGUGAAAUGCGUAGAUAUAGGAAGGAACACCAGUGGCGAAGGCGACCACCUGGACUAAUACUGACACUGAGGUGCGAAAGCGUGGGGAGCAAACGGGAUUAGAUACCCUGGUAGUCCACGCCGUAAACGAUGUCAACUAGCCGUGUGGAAGCCUUGUCAGCUUUUAGUGGCGCAGCUAACGCAUUAAGUUGACCGCCUGGGGAGUACGGCCGCAAGGUUAAAACUCGAAUGAAUUGACGGGGGCCCGCACAAGCGGUGGAGCAUGUGGUUUAAUUCGAAGCAACGCGAAGAACCUUACCAGGCCUUGACAUCCAAUGAACUUUCUAGAGAUAGAUUGGUGCCUUCGGGAACAUUGAGACAGGUGCUGCAUGACUGUCGUCAGCUCGUGUCGUGAGAUAUUGGGUUAAGUCCCGUAACGAGCGCAACCCUUGUCCUUAGUUACCAGCACGUCAUGGUGGGCACUCUAAGGAGACUGCCGGUGACAAACCGGAGGAAGGUGGGGAUGACGUCAAGUCAUCAUGGCCCUUACGGCCUGGGCUACACACGUGCUACAAUGGUCGGUACAGAGGGUUGCCAAGCCGCGAGGUGGAGCUAAUCCCACAAAACCGAUCGUAGUCCGGAUCGCAGUCUGCAACUCGACUGCGUGAAGUCGGAAUCGCUAGUAAUCGCGAAUCAGAAUGUCGCGGUGAAUACGUUCCCGGGCCUUGUACACACCGCCCGUCACACCAUGGGAGUGGGUUGCACCAGAAGUAGCUAGUCUAACCUUCGGGAGGACGGUUACCACGGUGUGAUCCAUGACUGGGGUGAANUCNUAACAANGUAACC